GCAGCAUAGGAAGGUUUGCGGACUCAUAGAUUGGACUUGGAUUCUCGGGCGUGUUUUCAGUUUGGCUGUUUCGACUUGCCGCCGCUGGGACAUGAACGGUUCGCAUCAUCACGAUGAUUUGCGACGACCUCGAGCAACAGUUCGCAAAAUACCCGAGCUUGUUAUCGAUUCCAUACAUGGAAACGCCACUGUUCUCGCUUCGCUCUCCAUAAUAUCCUCGAACCUGGUACGCCUCACCUGCUGGAUCUUCAAUCACCAAACAUAAGCGUGGGCAUCGGGGAAGCUAUCCAAACCGCUGGCUGGACGGAGAAUCGUAGGCGGCUUCGCCACUUUUGUAAGCGGCUUUCACAAGCUGGUGCCUAAAGUUUACUGACCCUGUCAUGCCACAUACUCGAUUCUGUUCGAAACACGAAUCCUCGUCCGGAUAUGCCAGCCGACACAAUGGAACUCGACAGCAGCCGGAUGAGGGUCACGACGCUUGCUGCCUGAGGCUCCCGACUCUAGUGUGUUCACGGCCAGGGGUCUUGGACUCGGACUCCAGGCAUCGAGGCGGUCGUUUCCAAUGGACUUGUUGUGGUCGCCUUGCACGACGCGCAGGGAGUGCGGACGGAUCGACGUUUCUCUACUUGUUCUGUAGGCUGGAUUUUCCGUUCGGUCAUUGCUUCACCAAGGGCAAUAUCGAGUUCGACUUGCUGCGUACCGAGUGGCGCAACGUGCGCUUGCACCAGCAUCGAACAGCGUACGCACCGAGGAGAUCGCCCAGAAGAAGCCCGUGGUGGUUCGGUAUGACAACGGGCACGGAAACGGAGAAGAGCAUCUGUGGAAGCCGCCUGUCGCGGUUAGGGGCAUGGAGCGAGCGGCGAAGCAAGCCCUCACGGUCCAUAGAGUGUACGUUAUUGGCAAAGGUCUAGAGGUCAUACGUGCACACCAGACCGCAAACAAGAGUGACCGCUUGAAAGAGCGCACCGGGUCUGUAUGCAGAGAAGAUGGGCAUGGCGAACGAAGCGUGGAUCGCGACUUGUACCUGUGCCUGAUAUGGGUCGAUGAGAGCUGGAAACUGCGGGACCGGCACUUCAAACGCUGCCAACGAUGUCCAUCGCCUGCUGGCAACGGAGCUGGAGUGGCAGGAGUGUCCGGUGUACGCAGGUCCGCAGGAAAGCGACGGGGUACGGAAGCGGCUCAAGAAAAGGUCCAAAACCGCAGGUUUCGUUGAUCGUACCAAGAUACCAAAAAUAUAGGGAGGGCGUCCGAAUGGUCAGUCCUUGGUAUUUCAGACGGACAUGUUAGCAGAGACUUUGAGCGCGGUUGAAAGACGCGGGCACUGCAAUGGAUCGCUUUCAAGACGAGCUGAUGUGCUGCUGGGAAGCUGACAACGCUGGGUCUCGGCGAACAGCAAGCAUCCAGGACUGUUCGUCUGGUAGGUAGACUCAGUGGUGACGAAAAUUGGAGCACCAUGCUGUCGCAUAUAUUGCCCAAGAAGAUCGCUUUCUUUGUCUAGAUACAUCGCUGAGGCCUCGCGUACGAUCUGCAGCUCCAUACUUUUCCAGUGCCAGUCUCGAAGCGAAGAUGCCGCCGCUUGGCUCUUAGCCCCUGAUCUUCUUUCAUCGGAUCUACUCAGUGUUUCAGCAAAAUGCCCACACUGAGUAUUCAACGAUGAUCUCGAUAGGUCGCUCAAAAAAAGGCCGAUGGACUGUAUGGGAGCAUGAUAACUUUCCGGAUGGUGAUCGAGGCCUUGGAGUUGCGACGCGUAAAGUGCUAUGACGCCUCGUUGCCGUUGGAAUCACACC
rnacentral:misc_RNA from 1 species